rnacentral:pre_miRNA from 1 species
UCGGUUAUCACGGUACCGAUGCUGUAUAUGUGAAAGGUACAGUACUGUGAUAACUGAAG